rnacentral:ncRNA from 1 species
AUAAUGAUACUUCUGUACGCAGCCGCCGGAGUACCCGGCAAGGGGUGAGACGCCCAUGG